rnacentral:rRNA from 1 species
UCGAACUCUGGUCCGUGGUGGGAGUGAACGCGAAGGUGGGUAGGUGUUUUCGAAAUAACUGGGCGUAAAGCGCGCGCAGGCGGCUAUCCAAGUCAGGGGUGAAAGCCCGGAGCUCAACUCCGGAACGGCCAUUGAAACUGUUUAGCUUGAGUAUGAGAGAGGUGAGUGGAAUUCCCAGUGUAGAGGUGAAAUUCGUAGAUAUUGGGAAGAACACCGGUGGCGAAGGCGGCUCACUGGCUCAUUACUGACGCUCAGGCGCGACAGCGUGGGGAUCAAACAGGAUUAGAUACCCCUGUAGUC